rnacentral:lncRNA from 1 species
UUUUGUGACUACCUGUAACAUCUGAGUAUGCUCGUCAGAAGUCACUCCGAGGAAAAAUCUGAUUAUUAGUUGGGAAAAUGGGGCAAGGAGGAGGCAGAGAAGAGAAGUAGCUCUGCUGGGUAUGUGGCAGUGUGACUUCUAGAACUGUUUGUGAGCUCUCGUGGCCGAAUGGAAUGAAGCGAAGCCUUCAUGUCAGCAUUGGGCUUGCAGGUGCUGAGCCCCCGAUGGUGGCCCCUCUUCCCGGCUUUCUCUCAGGGGCAUGGGUGGGGUGGAGAUAUUCAACUACUUCCAACGGAAACCAACACUUGAAAGGUUAUGAAGGCCCCUAAACCUCCUGCUCUUCCAUGGUGAUGGCUGACAGCUAAAGCCACACUGCCACUACCCUAAGCCCAAGCUUGAUCACCUGGAAAUGGGGACUGAGAGAGGACGAGAACAGCACAGCCUUUGAGCUCUCAUGGGGUGGCGUAAAUUUAUGGUCAAUAUGCCUCCAGAUCAGAGGUCCUGCUGUUAGAGAGUUUUCUUUUUUUGCUUUAGUGGUACACAGGAAUUCUCCCCCAGCCCCCUCAAGAUACUCACACAUCUUUUUAAAAUUUGCACCUUUUUUUCAGUCUGGUUUCCUAUGGUGAAGGGGAGGCUAGGAAAUGCCCAAUAAAUCAUCUGUCUGUCUUCACUCAAUUGAAAGGCAGGAAAUGCAGAGAACAGUCACGUUACCUUUCCACUUUGCAUAUAACAAGAGCUAUCAGGACCUGUUCCUUUGAAGGGGAGGCCCUUCUGACAGCAAUAUUAAAUUUUCGAGGCCACUGGAGUUUGUUUCUUGGGACCAGACCCAAAGUGGGCAGGCAUGUGGGAUGUUGGCUCUUUCCCCUACCAGCCCCUUCUAGGAGUAACUUCUUGGGCUUACCCUGGGAAAUCUACUCAGUCAGCAAUGAUUUAGGGGCUCCAUGUGCACAGCACCAUUGUAAGUCUAUGUGGAUUAAAGGAAUUCUACUCUUGAGUCCUAAUUCUUAACAAAUUUACAUCUGUAGUUGGUGCAACAGCUAACCCAUGUACAUAAAAUAAUGACCCCAUACA